UUAAAUGUAAUUUAUUUAUAAAAUUAUUAUGAGUUAUGGUCUUUAAAAUUAAAAAAUUUGGCGGUAUUUUAGUCUUUUUAGAGGAACCUGUUCUAUAAAUGAUAAUCCACGAUUUUAUGUACUUUUAUUAUUAAUUUGUAUAUCGUCGUUAUAAAAUAUUUUUUUAGGAUAUUAUUUAAAAUUUUUUUUAAAAAAUUAAUCAGAUCAAGGUGCAGUUUAUAUAAAAGUAGAAAUGGGUUACAAUAAAUUUAUUUUUGGAAUUUUAAUUUUAUAUUAAAAUGAAAAUGGAUUUAAAUGUAAUAUUAAUUUAUUAAUUAAUAUGAUUUUAGCUCUAAAAUAUGU
rnacentral:rRNA from 1 species